rnacentral:rRNA from 1 species
GACGAACGCUGGCGGCGUGCUUAACACAUGCAAGUCGAACGGAAAGGCCCUGCUUUUGUGGGGUGCUCGAGUGGCGAACGGGUGAGUAACACGUGAGUAACCUGCCCUUGACUUUGGGAUAACUUCAGGAAACUGGGGCUAAUACCGUAUAGGAUCUCCUGCUGCAUGGUGGGGGUUGGAAAGUUUCGGCGGUUGGGGAUGGACUCGCGGCUUAUCAGCUUGUUGGUGGGGUAGUGGCUUACCAAGGCUUUGACGGGUAGCCGGCCUGAGAGGGUGACCGGGGACAAUGGGACUGAGAGACGGAGCAGUGGGGAACGUGGGGCAGCAGUGGGGAAUAUUGCACAAUGGGCGGGAGCCGGAUACAGCGACGCUGCGUGCGGGAUGACGGUCUGCGGGUAGUAAACCGCUUUAGCCUGAGACGCAGCGGGAGUGACGGUAAUGGGUAAAGAAGCACCGGCUAACUACGUG